AUUGAACGCUGGCGGCAUGCUUUACACAUGCAAGUCGAACGGCAGCGCGGGCUUCGGCCUGGCGGCGAGUGGCGAACGGGCGAGUAAUGCAUCGGAACGUGCCCAGUAGUGGGGGAUAGCCCGGCGAAAGCCGGAUUAAUACCGCAUACGACCUGAGGGUGAAAGCGGGGGACCGAAAGGCCUCGCGCUAUUGGAGCGGCCGAUGUCGGAUUAGCUAGUUGGUGGGGUAAAGGCUUACCCAGGCGACGAUCCGUAGCUGGUCUGAGAGGACGACCCGCCACACUGGGACUGAGACACGGCCCAGACUCCUACGGGAGGCAGCAGUGGGGAAUUUUGGACAAUGGGGGCAACCCUGAUCCAGCCAUGCCGCGUGCGGGAAGAAGGCCUUCGGGUUGUAAACCGCUUUUGUUCGGGAAGAAAUCCUCUGGGCUAAUACCCCGGGGGGAUGACGGUACCGGAAGAAUAAGCACCGGCUAACUACGUG
rnacentral:rRNA from 1 species